AGAAGGAGGACGAAGAAGGCUAAUAGUGGCUCAGAUGGUGAUGAUUAGGGUUGGAUGUUACGUGACGAUAACUUCACGUCACCACUUAACACGAUCGGGACCACAACCACAAACUACAACGAUGGUGAACUCGAUAGUGGAGGAUGAUGGUGACUUGAGAGUUGAGAUCAAAUUUCUAUGAUUUUGAUAAGGUUAACAUUGCGUGCUCGUAACAUAAGCGGCGAGAGGAAGAAGACAUUAUAUACAUACGUACACACUUCUCACGUUUAGGUCUUGUUUUUAAUGAAGAUGGGCUUAAUGAGAAAUUGGGUCUUAGCUUUACCUCCUUUCGCCGUCUCCAGUCACGCCGAGACAGCUCCCUUUCAUGCUUCUUCCGCCAGAAUCCA